rnacentral:rRNA from 1 species
GACGAACGCUGGCGGCGUGCUUAACACAUGCAAGUCGAACGGAAAGGCUCCAGCUUGCUGGAGUCCUCGAGUGGCGAACGGGUGAGUAACACGUGGGUAAUCUGCCCUGCACUCUGGGAUAAGCCUGGGAAACUGGGUCUAAUACUGGAUAUGACCUUUCUCCUUAUGGGGUUUGGUGGAAAGUUUUUCGGUUUAGGAUGAGCCCGCGGCCUAUCAGCUUGUUGGUGGGGUGAUGGCCUACCAAGGCGACGACGGGUAGCCGGCCUGAGAGGGUGAUCGGCCACAUUGGGACUGAGAUACGGCCCAGACUCCUACGGGAGGCAGCAGUGGGGAAUAUUGCACAAUGGGCGGAAGCCUGAUGCAGCGACGCCGCGUGAGGGAUGACGGCCUUCGGGUUGUAAACCUCUUUCAGCAGGGACGAAGCGUAAGUGACGGUACCUGCAGAAGAAGCACCGGCUAACUAUGUG